UACAGGGGGGGCAAGCGUUGCUCGGAAUUACUGGGCGUAAAGGGCCAGUAGGCGGCCAACUAAGUCCGACGUGAAAUCCCCAGGCUUAACCUGGGAACUGCGUCGGAUACUGGAUGGCUUGAAUUCGGGAGAGGGAUGCAGAAUUCCAGGUGUAGCGGUGAAAUGCGUAGAUAUCUGGAGGAAUACCGGUGGCGAAGGCGGCAUCCUGGACCAGUACUGACGCUGAGGCACGAAAGCGAGGGUAGCAAACGGG
rnacentral:rRNA from 1 species